GGCUCUUCCUAUCAUUGUGAAGC
rnacentral:ncRNA from 3 species